rnacentral:misc_RNA from 1 species
GAUGAAGAACGUAGUGAAAUGCGAUAAGUAAUGUGAAUUGCAGAAUUCAGUGAAUCAUCGAAUCUUUGAACGCACAUUGCGCCCGCCAGUAUUCUGGCGGGCAUGCCUGUUCGAGCGUCAUUUCAACCAUCAAGCCCCCGGCUUGUGUUGGGGACCUGCGGCUGCCGCAGGCCCUGAAAACCAGUGGCGGGCUCGCUAGUCACUCCGAGCGUAGUAAUACAUCUCGCUCAGGGCGUGCUGCGGGUUCCGGCCGUUAAAAGCCUUAUUUUACCCAAGGUUGACCUCGGAUCAGGUAGGAAGACCCGCUGAACUUAAGCAUAUCAAUAACGGAGGA